rnacentral:lncRNA from 1 species
CCCUCCCAAUCAUUGCCCAUAUUUUCGAAUUUAGAAUCAAACAAAAAAAAAAUCUUUCUGGUCUUAAAGACCAUAUCGCUAUAUAACUUAUAUCGUUUUUCCUUAAUCAUAAUUUUUUACAAUGGCGGUAAGGCGAAGUAUUGACAAUAUAAAUGUUAAUCUCGGCGAGGUAGUCGUACACUGCACUAUAUGCAAUGAUACUAGCCAGGACACCGACAUUGUAGAAACCCAUUGCAAACACAAAUACCACAGGUCGUGUUUAUCGGAUUGGUUGACAUCCAAUGAGACAUGCCCGAUUUGUAGGCAGCUGUGUUCGUUACCGUUGCGUUCACAAUCUCAAUCGAAUUUACAGAGUGGGGAAAAUGCCGCGGCGAAUUUGUCGUACACCGGAGCAAUUCCGAAAAAUCGUCCUAAAACAAGGUCACAGGUACGAAAUACCCCAAAAGCCUCAAGUGCACGACUUAACCCUCGACCAGGACCUGGCCAGACUAGACGUGCUCAGGAAUCCAAUGUUCUUUCCGAAGGAAAUAUCCAACGACUUAUUUCAGAGUCCAUGACUAAAUUUCAGGAAAAUAUGACCGCAGUUAUUUCAGAGAAGAUAACAACGGAGUUGAGGAAUCUGAACCUGACAAAUGUUUCUAGGAACUUCCGGGAGGAGCCCCAGCUUGAAUGGGAGAGUGAUAUUGCUCCAUCCUUCCCUCGAAUGAGCAGCGCUAGUAAUCUUCGUAACCAUAGUUACAGGCCACGCCCAUCUAGUGCUCGUGCGAAUUUCACAGACCUUCCUAGUGAAUCUCCUGAUAAGAUCUCAAAUAUCAUUUCCAAGUGGCGUAUAAAAUUCAGUGGAUCUUCCAAAGAUAUUCCCAUCGAAGAUUUUAUUUAUAGAGUGAAUUGUCUUACCAAUAAUUGUUUAAAUGGAAACUUUACCUUACUGGCGCAGUUCGCUAGUCUCUUAUUUACUGAUUCAGCCUUGUCAUUUUACUGGCGUGUUCAUAGGACCACGAAUAACCUUGACUGGUAUGAGUUAUGCAGCCGGUUGCAAGAGAGAUACCAGGAUCAACGUUCGGAUCGAGAGAUCAAAGCAGCCAUGCGUAGGCGUAAACAGGGUAGUAAUGAAAGCUUUGACGAUUUUCUAGAUGCGAUGCUAUCUAUCGCAGACUCUUUACGAGAGCCUAUGCAGGACGGUGACGUCACCAUAGAGGUUCGCGAGAAUUUAAAGUCGGAACUGAAGCUCGACUUGCUUCAUAUCGAAACUCCAGAUUUGGCAACCUUACGCAAGGAGUGUCACAAGCACGAGGAAUUCUUUCGAAAUCUGAAGUCAAAGCCUUUUUCGCGACACGAAGUAGUGAAUAGCAAGAGGUUUGUGAACUCCAUUAGCCAUGACGAAGAAGCUGAUGAUAAUUCCGAAAAAGAAGGGGACUCCCUUGACGAAGUUUAUGCACUCCGAUCUUCCGAAAUUAGUAAAUGCUGGAAUUGCGAAGAACAGGGCCACAAAUACCAGGAAUGCCUAAAACCUCGUCGUAUUUUCUGUUAUGGUUGUGGUGUACCUGAUACGUACAAGCCCAACUGUGCAAAGUGUAAAUCGACUACGGAAAAC